GACGAACGCUGGCGGCGUGCUUAACACAUGCAAGUCGAACGGAAAGGCCCUGCUUUUGUGGGGUGCUCGAGUGGCGAACGGGUGAGUAACACGUGAGUAACCUGCCCUUGACUUUGGGAUAACUUCAGGAAACUGGGGCUAAUACCGGAUAGGAUCUCCUGCUGCAUGGUGGGGGUUGGAAAGUUUCGGCGGUUGGGGAUGGACUUGCGGCUUAUCAGCUUGUUGGUGGGGUAGUGGCUUACCAAGGCUUUGACGGGUAGCCGGCCUGAGAGGGUGACCGGCCACAUUGGGACUGAGAUACGGCCCAGACUCCUACGGGAGGCAGCAGUGGGGAAUAUUGCACAAUGGGCGGAAGCCUGAUGCAGCAACGCCGCGUGCGGGAUGACGGCCUUCGGGUUGUAAACCGCUUUCGCCUGUGACGAAGCGUGAGUGACGGUAAUGGGUAAAGAAGCACCGGCUAACUACGUG
rnacentral:rRNA from 1 species